rnacentral:rRNA from 1 species
CCUACGGGAGGCUGCAGUGGGGAAUAUUGGACAAUGGGGGGAACCCUGAUCCAGCCAUGCCGCGUGUGUGAAGAAGGCCCUCGGGUUGUAAAGCACUUUCAGUGAGGAAGAACGCCUGGUGGUUAAUACCCAUCAGGAAAGACAUCACUCACAGAAGAAGCACCGGCUAACUCCGUGCCAGCAGCCGCGGUAAUACGGAGGGUGCGAGCGUUAAUCGGAAUUACUGCGCGUAAAGCGCGCGUAGGUGGCUUGAUAAGCCGGUUGUGAAAGCCCCGGGCUCAACCUGGGAACGGCAUCCGGAACUGUCAAGCUAGAGUGCAGGAGAGGAAUGUAGAAUUCCCGGUGUAGCGGUGAAAUGCGUAGAGAUCGGGAGGAAUACCAGUGGCGAAGGCGGCCUUCUGGACUGACACUGACACUGAGGUGCGAAAGCGUGGGUAGCAAACAGGAUUAGAUACCCUGGUAGUC